rnacentral:rRNA from 1 species
UGGGGAAUCUUGGACAAUGGGGGCAACCCUGAUCCAGCCAUGCCGCGUGGGUGAUGAAGGCCUUAGGGUCGUAAAGCCCUUUCGCCGGGGAAGAUAACGACGGUACCCGGUAAAGAAGCCCCGGCUAACUCCGUGCCAGCAGCCGCGGUAAUACGGAGGGGGCUAGCGUUGUUCGGAAUGACUGGGCGUAAAGCGCGCGUAGGGCGGCUGCAGAAAGUUGGGGGUGAAAUCCCGGGGCUCAACCUCGGAAUGGCCUUCAAAACUCCUGGUCUUGAGUUCGAGAGAGGUGAGUGGAAUUCCGAGUGUAGAGGUGAAAUUCGUAGAUAUUCGGAGGAACACCAGUGGCGAAGGCGGCUCACUGGCUCGACACUGACGCUGAGGUGCGAAAGCGUGGGGAGCAAACAGGAUUAGAUA